GGGAUUUGAUUCCGCGACUUGCGCUCACAGAGGGCUUGGGGUCUCGCAGGGCGGAUCUACGAGCUGAAAUCGAAGCAGCGGCACCUGGAAGGAAGAAGAAGAGAGGCCCUGAACAGGAUUCUGGACAUCAAAGGUCGGAAAUCCGAGGACCCAUUCAUAGCUCCACCCAGAAAAAUGAUGAUCACCUCAGACCUGCUUUCUUUUCCAGGCAGCAUUAGGGUUUUCUGCAGGGUCCGGCCGAACAGUUCCUCCACCGUCACCACCGGACCAGAGAAGGUCACCAUCAGAUCGGCGGGGGCGAGGAAGGACUUCCGGGUGGACAGGGUCUUCC
rnacentral:lncRNA from 1 species